GUCGGCUAUGGGGACAUUUACCCCAAAACCCUCCUGGGAAAGAUAGUCGGAGGUCUGUGCUGCAUCGCCGGAGUUUUGGUGAUUGCCCUGCCUAUUCCGAUCAUCGUCAACAAC
rfam:Tetraodon nigroviridis chromosome 11 SCAF14979, whole genome shotgun sequence.